AAGAAAGGCUACAUCAAGAGGAUGGCCGAAGCAGUUGAGAAAGCGAGAGAGGUGAAAAGGAGGAAACUGGAAGAGCGACGAGCGUCAGCCAUUUUAACUCCACCACCAACAGCUGAUCCUCCCCAGCCAUCAACGAGCCAUAUGACCGCCACCACACCACUGCCUCCCUCCACCACUGGUGCUCCAACACAAACUCUCACCAGUUCAAUGCGUAGAAAGAUCAGUAUUAAAAAAAAAAGAAAAAGAAGGUGUACAAUAGCUGCUCUGCUGGAGCAUACUAGUCGCCGUGGGAUGUGUCAACUUUAAAUGCCAUUUUCUCAAAAAUUUUGCAUUCAGCAGAUGGGAGAAGAGUCCAGGUAUCAAGAUUGCCCUAAAAUAAAAUUUUCAAUUAGUUA